CCUACGGGAGGCUGCAGUGAGGAAUAAUGGUCAAUGGGCGCGAGCCUGAACCAGCCAAGUAGCGUGAAGGAUGACAGCCCUACGGGUUGUAAACUUCUGUUAUAAAGGAAUAAAGUGAGGCAAGUGGGCCAUUUUGUAUGUACGUUAUGAAUAAGGAUCGGCUAACUCCGUGCCAGCAGCCGCGGUAAGACGGAGGAUCCGAGCGUUAUCCGGAUUUCUUGGGGUUAAAGGGAGCGUAGAGGGGUUGUUACGUCAGUUGUGAAAGUUUGCGGCUCAACCAUAAAAUUGCAAUUGAUACUGGCAGUCUUGCGUACAGUUGCGGUAGGCGGCAUUCUUGUUGUAGCGG
rnacentral:rRNA from 1 species